rnacentral:rRNA from 1 species
AUUGAACGCUGGCGGCAGGCCUAACACAUGCAAGUCGAGCGGAGCGGCGGACGGGUGAGUAAUGCCUAGGAAUCUGCCUGCUCGUGGGGGAUAACGUCCGGAAACGGUCGCUAAUACCGCAUACUAUCAGAUUAGCCUCGGUCGGAUUAGCUGGUUGGUGGGGUAAAGGCCUACCCAGGCGACGAUCCGUAACUGGUCUGAGAGGAUGAUCAGUCACAAUGGAACUGAGACACGGUCCAGACUACUACGGGAGGCAGCAGAGGGGAAUAUUGGGCAAUGGGGGAAAGCCUGAUCCAGCCAUGCCGCGCGUGUGAAGAAGGUCUUCGGAUUGUAAAGCACUUUAAGUGGUGAGACGUUACCAGCAGAAUAAGCACCGGCUAACUACGUGCCAGCAGCCGCGGUAAUAC